rnacentral:lncRNA from 1 species
GGAGAAAUUAUGACCGAGAGCCUGACACCUGAUGCUAGCGGCUUUUGUCUCGCCAAGUUGACCCAGUAUUUGGCCACCUUGUGCGGCGGGUGACUAUGGUGUCCAGGUAAGUGGCUGACGUGGCAGGCGUCCCAGGAAUGGGAGAAGAGAUGGGUAUAUAUAUGUAUUACCUGAAAGCCCAGGGCAGUUGUUGCCUUGGGUCAUGCAGAGAAUAUGCAGCCACACCCAUGCCUUAGAUGUGUGUAAUUCAAGUGGAGAAGACACAAGCCAGUGGUCGCAAUAUCAACACUUGAGUGUUCUGUAAACGGAUUGGUGUCAGCAGAAAACCAACAGUGAUGUGGUGGCACACAGUGAACUGACAGGACCCAGGCAGCAGCGGUUCUUUUGGUGGCAAUGGUG